CAUUGUGUCUAACUGUCCAGUGUUGAGAUGGAGAUGAGUGGCCUCCUGAGUGUUCUGCUGGUCACGUCAGCAGCCUUGCUGUUUAUAGCUAACGGACAGAGCAACUAUGAUAUGUUGACGGAGGUUGACAAGAAACAUGUUGACAUGGCUAUAAGAUAUGCAAAUAAGAAUAGUGCGUUUCAGAAAAAUAAUCCAAAAGAGCACCUCAAUUUUUUACAAGUUCUAGGAAAAUAAGAGAUCAAUGCUCGGGAAUAUAAAAUCAACUUGUUGUUGAAAGCAACAGACUGCCCUAAAGCCAGUAGUGAUAGUGAACAUAAACAUCGCCCUGAAUGUCACUUUAAAUCCGGAAGGCCUUAUAUAAACUGUGUUGUUUGCCGCAAAGACUUCCAUGACCCCUACAUUGACUGUGUUCUCCAGAAAGAUGUGAAGAAGCAAGAUAACAUCCGAUAUGACAAGUGUUCAUCUCUUCUUCAUGGAGGGCCUACAAUGUUACUCUUACCUGCCGAAGAAGACCUUCAGACUGGAUGCCUUGACUGUUUCUGAUAACUAAUGAAAGAACGUGUACUGAUGGUCAGAGGCCGUCCUUAUAAAGCACUUCUGUCUUUGGAUUUAUAAUGUAGCAUUUUGGGAGCUUCGGUUGGAAUUUAACACAAUGCAAUUGUCUCAAAAAUACUCUUUCCAGUUUUGAAUCUCUCGUAAUACACAGAUAAAUAUUGUAAAUGUACCCUUUGCUGAUUUUCCACAUAUAUUCAAAGAAAAAUUGAGAGCAGUCUGCUACUUGAGAUUCACAUGGAUUACCCUACUGCUUAUUUCAAAAUAAUAUUACUGUUGAAAGUAAAGCUUACUCUAAUUUAACCAGUAUGAGGGGUGAAAAAUGAAAUAAGGAUGUUAUUGGACUCGUUUUUUUCUGAAUCUUAAAAUUUGUUUGUUUUACAAUUUUGGGAAGAAAAUUGCCUGAAUGUCUGCAUAUGUCUUGCAGUGUAAAAUGAUUGCAGCUCUGUUUCUACUUCUCUCUGGGCAGCCAGUUCUGCCUGUGACCGCAGAUCACUACUAGGUUUUUAUAGGUAACAUAAUGAACUUAGGGUCUGGUCCCUAUGGCCAGGCUGUGUUCACUGAGUCUGCACAUUGUCAAUUCAGUAUUUUCCUCAGUCACUGUGAACAUAUGUCUGUAGAACAAACAGCAUUAAAAUUUGCUUUGGGUUUUGACUUUCUAAAAGGUGAUAUUUUUUAUUUUAGAUUCGAUGACGGUUUGGUUGGUUAACAACAACCGGAACUUGGCUUAGAUUGUUGUCGGACUUCAAUCAAAUAUUAUUUUAAGGGGUGGAUCAGCUGUAUUACAGAAAUAAAUUCAUUACAAAUCCUA